CUUAGAGGGACUAGUGGCGUUUAGCCACACGAGAUUGAGCAAUAACAGGUCUGUGAUGCCCUUAGAUGUCCGGGGCGCACGCGCGCUACACUGAGUGAAGCAGCGAGUGUCUAACCUAGGCCGAAAGGUCCGGGUAACCCGUUGAACCUCAUUCGUGAUUGGGAUAGGGACUUGCAAUUGUUUCCCUUGAACNAGGAAUUCCCAGUAAGCGCAAG
rnacentral:rRNA from 1 species